GAAGAAGAAGAAAAAGAAACGUCUAAGGCAGAAGAAAAGACACUUUGACUGUGGGACUCUGGUAUCCCAGGCUGAAAAAACUGAGUGCUCAGGGCUGUUAAGAAAAAAGUUGGGGAAAUGGAGAAACACUUGAUGGUUGCAUUAAUGAUUCUCUCUCUUCACCGGAGCUGGGUGAACAGUGAAGAUUCAGUGGAGCAGAGCCCACGAACCCUGACUAUUCAAGAGGGAAUGAAUGCUACCUUCUACUGUAAUUAUUCAAGCAGGGGUUCAGAUUACCUGCAUUGGUACAGGCAGGAUCUAAGGAAAAGCCUGGUGAAUUUAUUUGUUUUGAUUACAAGUGGGGAAGUGAAACACAAUGGAAGAUUAACAGUCACUCUCAACACUAAAGACCAGCAAAGCUCCCUGCAUAUCACAGCCUCCCAACCAGAAGACUCAGCCACCUACUUAUGUGCUAAAGCACAGUGCUCCCCAGGCAUCUGAAACCUGUGCUUAAUCCCGGCACCUGGGGCUCCUGCCUCACUCCCUAUCUCGGGGCCUCCAACAGUGAGGUUUACUUUAUAUGCUGCAGGGCUAGGGGCUGGGGAAGAUAUGUGGUUCCUAUCGAGGGUACCUUGUUUCCCCUAUCACACCCUGGACCAAAUAUUUCCAGUAGUUUAUUGUCUCCAUACUGCUAGAAAUCCCCCAUUUCCCCUUAGAUCCAGAUAUGUUAAUAAAUCACUUAAUUUUCAUGCUGUUGUUGUUGUUGUUUA